CAAUCAGAGUCGGUUGUCGCUGGCCUCUUCGUUGAGGCAUGUGCACGCCUUCUCUGUUCAUCCACACACACCUGUGCACUUGUGAGACGGAUGACCCCUCUCGGGGGACGGUCCGUCUAUUAUACAUAAACUCCAGUAAAUAAAAUUUGAAUGUCAUNUGAUGUAAACGCAUCUUUAAACUAAGUUUCAACAACGGAUCUCUUGGCUCUCGCAUCGAUGAAGAACGCAGCGAAAUGCGAUAAGUAAUGUGAAUUGCAGAAUUCAGUGAAUCAUCGAAUCUUUGAACGCACCUUGCGCCCCUUGGUAUUCCGAGGGGCAUGCCUGUUUGAGUGUCAUUAAAUCCUCAACCCCCUUGGUUUUCUUGCAAGACCUAGGGAGGAUUGGAUUUGAGGGUCUGCCGGCGUAAGGUCGGCUCCCUUUAAAGACAUUAGCGGGACGAUAAGGACUCCUUGCGAUCGACGUGAUAAUUAUCUGCGUCCACAUCCGAGGUCUCUGAAGUCUGCUUCUAACCGUCUUCGGACACGCUCUGACCAUUUUGACCUCAGAUCAGGUAGGACUACCCGCUGAACUUAAGCAUAUCAAUAAGCGGAGGA
rnacentral:rRNA from 1 species